rnacentral:rRNA from 1 species
CCUACGGGUGGCAGCAGUGAGGAAUAUUGGUCAAUGGACGGAAGUCUUAACCAGCCAUGCCGCGUGCAGGAAGACGGCUCUCUGAGUUGUAAACUGCUUUUGUACAAGGGUAAACCUGAAUACGUGUAUUCAGCUGACCGUACUGUACGAAUAAGGAUCGGCUAACUCCGUGCCAGCAGCCGCGGUAAUACGAAGGAUCCAAGCGUUAUCCGGAUUUAUUGGGGUUAAGGGUUGCGUAGGCGGAUUGAUAAGUUAGAGGUGAAAUGUCCGAGCUUAACUCAGGAACUGCCUCUAAUACUGUUGAUCUAGAGAGUAGAUGCGGUAGGCGGAAUGUAUGGUGUAGCGGUGAAAUGCUUAGAGAUUAUACAGAACAUCGGUGGCGAAGGCAGCUUACCAAUCUAUAUCUGACGUUGAGGCACGAAAGUGUGGGGAGCAAACAGGAUUAGAUACCCCAGUAGUC